CCCAGCAGGAACCACCUCACACCAAAGGGCCCACAAAAAAGAAAAGAAAAGAACAGCUCCAGCCUCGUCUUGUUUAUCUAACCCAAACUCAACUCAAGCCUUUGGUCUUGACGUGGGCACUGGUGUCCUUUCCUUGGGAGGAGAGCAAUCCAGUGUGAGAGAAUUCCCAUGGGUUCUGUCUACACCCUCGUGCGCUGCCUCACCGGCCUGCCAAAUCGCUUCUGACCCCCGUGAGGACCAGUGAGGUACCAUGAAGUACAGACUUCAUCUUGAAAUCCCAACUCUUUCCCAGGCCCCUCUUCAUCCUACACCCACCUACAUGAC